UACGGGGGGGGCAAGCGUUGUUCGGAAUUACUGGGCGUAAAGCGUGCGCAGGCGGUUCGUUAAGUUCGUUGUGAAAGCCCCGGGCUCAACCUGGGAACUGCAAUGGAAACUGGCGGGCUUGAAUGCGGCAGAGGGGGGUGGAAUUCCGCGUGUAGCAGUGAAAUGCGUAGAGAUGCGGAGGAACACCGAUGGCGAAGGCAGCCCCCUGGGCCGACAUUGACGCUCAGGCGCGGAGGCGUGGGGAGCGAACGGG
rnacentral:rRNA from 1 species